ACGUGCCGCCGCUUCGUCAGCGACCAUUUGGACGAUUGCAUCGUUGCCCGCGGGCGGAUUCGGAGCGCCUCCACGCAUCCCGAGGCUCUCCCGAUUUCGUUGGAACAGCACCCGGGAAGCGCAGCACAUUGUGUUUACAGCAGGAUGGACUCAGAAUUUUAUUCUUUCAAAUGUUGGUUUGUUCUGGUAAAGGGUUAUGUAACUUAUCAAGCCGACCUUCUACAGAAUGCAAUAAAACUAGUUUCCUGCUAA